rnacentral:misc_RNA from 1 species
UCUCCGUAGGUUAACCUGCGGAGGGAUCAUUACUGAGUGAGGGCUCACGCCCGACCUCCAACCCUUUGUGAACACAUCUUGUUGCUUCGGGGGCGACCCUGCCGGCACUCUGUCGCCGGGCGCCCCCGAAGGCCUCCCAACACUGCAUCUUUGCGUCGGAGUUUAAAACAAAUUACAAAAAACUUUCAACAACGGAUCUCUUGGUUCUGGCAUCGAUGAAGAACGCAGC